AAAGAGGCCGGGUAUGGUGAAGAGAUAAUUAAUUUUUUAUUCAAAAUUUUAUUUUCCAUGCAUUUGUACAGGGAAUCUAUAUACAUUUGAGGUGAGCGGCAGAUUUAAUUUUGAAGAAGGGUGACUUUCAGAUGUUGUGAUGAAGAUUGUUGAAAGGGAUUAUCAGCAUAAAACCAAUCCAUAUGAAUGUGCAAAUCAGAAAAAAGGAAUGUGGAGCUAAUGCAUGCUGCUAAGGAUGGAAAGGUCGUGUGUUUAUUGGUUGUGCCUGAGACACCAGUCACAGUUGUACCUUAUUUCCGUUUUAGGGAGUCUAGAUACAUUUGAGGUGAGCGGCAGAUUUAAUUUUGAAGAAAGGUGACUUUCAGAUGUUGUGAUGAAGAUUGUUGAAAGGGAUUAUCAGCAUA